GUCGUUCGCCGCGGAUGUAGCCAAGUGGAUCAAGGCAGUGGAUUGUGAAUCCACCAUGCGCGGGUUCAAUUCCC
rnacentral:tRNA from 3 species